rnacentral:rRNA from 1 species
UACAGGGGGGGCAAGCGUUGUUCGGAAUUACUGGGCGUAAAGGGCCAGUAGGCGGCCUGCUAAGUCCGACGUGAAAUCCCCAAGCUUAACUUGGGAACUGCGUCGGAUACUGGUGGGCUUGAAUUCGGGAGAGGGAUGCAGAAUUCCAGGUGUAGCGGUGAAAUGCGUAGAUAUCUGGAGGAACACCGGUGGCGAAGGCGGCAUCCUGGACCGAGAUUGACGCUGAGGCGCGAAAGCCAGGGGAGCAAACGGG